UACGAAGGGUGCAAGCGUUAAUCGGAAUUACUGGGCGUAAAGGGCGCGUAGGCGGCUUUGUAAGUCGGGGGUGAAAGCCUGUGGCUCAACCACAGAAUUGCCUUCGAUACUGCAUGGCUUGAGACCGGAAGAGGUAAGUGGAACUGCGAGUGUAGAGGUGAAAUUCGUAGAUAUUCGCAAGAACACCAGUGGCGAAGGCGGCUUACUGGUCCGGUUCUGACGCUGAGGCGCGAAAGCGUGGGGAGCAAACAGG
rnacentral:rRNA from 1 species